CAGCCGCAAACUAUGCUCGCUAGGUGUCAGGCAUGGCGCGACCGUGUCUGGUGCCGCAGGGAAGCCGUGAAGCGAGCCACCUGGGAAGUACGGCCGCAAGGCUGAAACUUAAGGAAUUGGCGGGGGAGCACAACAACGGGUGGAGCCUGCGGUUUAAUUGGACUCAACGCCGGACAACUCACCGGGGGACGACAGCAAUAUGUAGGCCAGGCUGAAGACCUUGCCUGAAUCGCUGAGAGGAGGUGCAUGGCGUAGACGUCU
rnacentral:rRNA from 1 species